GAUGAACGCUAGCGGCAGGCCUAACACAUGCAAGUCGAGGGGUAGAAGGAGCUUGCUCCUUUGAGACCGGCGCACGGGUGCGUAACGCGUAUGCAAUCUACCUUGUACAGGGGAAUAGCCCAGAGAAAUUUGGAUUAAUGCCCCAUAGUAUAUAACCUUCGCAUGUUGGUUAUAUUAAAGUUCCAACGGUACAAGAUGAGCAUGCGUCCCAUUAGUUAGUUGGUAAUGUAACGGCUUACCAAGACGAUGAUGGGUAGGGGUCCUGAGAGGGAGAUCCCCCACACUGGUACUGGGACACGGACCAGCCUCCUACGGGAGGCAGCAGUGAGGAAUAUUGAUCAAUGGUCGAAAGACUGAACCAGCCAUGCCGCGUGCAGGAAGACGGUCCUAUGGAUUGUAAACUGCUUUUAUACAGGAAGAAACCCUCCCACGUGUGGGAGCUUGACGGUACUGUAGGAAUAAGGAUCGGCUAACUCCGUG
rnacentral:rRNA from 1 species